rnacentral:rRNA from 1 species
AUGGCCGCGGCGGGCAAGGCCAAGGAGGCGGACGCGGCGCGGUGCAGGAGGCACCCGAGCCACCGGCACGCGGCCGGCGUCUGCCCCUUCUGCCUCAGCGACCGCCUCUCGCGCCUCUCCGCCGCCGCAGGGGCCGCCGACGCCGCCUCCGAGCCGUCGUCGGCGUCCUCGUCCGGGGCGGCGAGCGUCGCGUCGGCCCAGACGGCGCCGCCCUGCCGCGAGGCGCGCCGGGCGAGGCUGGGGAUGCUGAUGCGUCAGGAGGAGCCGGAGGCGACCGGCCAUCACGGCAAGCAGGAGGCGGCGGCGGCGGAGGAGGGGGAGAAGAAGAAGCCGGCGAAGAGGGGCAACUUCUGGACUCGGCUGCAGCAGGCGAGCUGGUACAGGAGGGACGGCUGCUCGGUGGCGUCCGUGAAGAAGGGCGCCGCCGCGCCGCCGCACAAGCGGGCGGCGUCGCUGUUCUGA